rnacentral:lncRNA from 1 species
CCCGGGGCAAUGGCGGCGCGGUCACGUGACACCGGCGGGAUAUUUAAACGCCGCCGUGGGCAAUAUUCCCCUUUCCCUUCGAGGCCUGGACGGGCGGCGGCCGCAGGAUCUGCAGCCUGAAAGGUCUGCAUGGACUGUCCUGAAAUGCCAACUGGCUGUCAAUGUCAUCCAUCAAGGGUCGAGCAAGGACUCACUGUGACAGACACCCUGCCUUGGAGAGAACCUGGGCUGGCUGUACUGAUCCCAGAGUGGUGCAACCUGGCACAGCAGCAAAAUGCAUCCAUGUCAAUGCUCCUGAUAGCAGCAGUCAAAGGAACACAGGCUGGGAACUCAUGGCUCUGUCCCUGCCUCUGGGUGACCGUAGGGAAAUUCUUUAUUGCCUCUCUGCUUCAGAGUCCUCUCCCUUACCUAGAGAAGAAAUCCAGUGUACCCCCAGCUGGGUAGUUGCAACAAAGAUAGAGCAGCACAUCGCUUGGGGCCUGUGAUUUAAAACUGGAUUUUCUUAUUCUGUACUAAUUUCACUGACUAUCACAAAUCUCUAUUUUUUUCAGUCAUGCAUUUAAAAAUCAGAAUAAGCAGACUGGGGCUGGAAGGAUUAAUAUGUUUCCUUUGAUACUAGAAUUCUAGUAUUUUGGACUGUGCACUGCAUUUCUUUUCUCCAAGACUGCAUAUAAAAUGCUAUUUGCUGACUUCUCAUCUAUAUAAUUAAAGCUAGCUCUAUUAUCAGAAGGAUUCUUAUGAGGCUUAGCUGCUCUCC